rnacentral:rRNA from 1 species
CCUACGGGAGGCAGCAGUGGGGAAUAUUGCACAAUGGACGAAAGUCUGAUGCAGCAACGCCGCGUGGAGGAUGACACAUUUCGGUGCGUAAACUCCUUUUAUAUAAGAAGAUAAUGACGGUAUU